AGAGUGCUCGCGACGCGCCAGGACGAGAAAGGACGUGGGGACGUGCUGCGUGCGUGCGUGCGUGCGUGCGUGCAGGCGGGGUAGAAAUGGCAGGGUGGAACCGACAGCACCCAGUAGGACGGUUGCCGGGUCUAGAUUACACCGGGCAAGCUGGAACCCCGCCUCCGACCACCACUUGCAGUUUCUGGGUUCCUAACUGAGGCUUCCCGAAGAAACCGGUGAUGGAUAAAGAGCAAGUCAGAUUAAAGUGCUGUUCGAAGUGCGAGUUGUUCUAAGCGGUCGUCAACGCAGCGUGUUUAAUUGACUUGCCCAGAGUCGGCGAAGAGCCAGUCCGGAACCCUGCUGUUGUGUGAACCCUGUGGUUUCUCUCCGGUCUGUGGGGGCCUACCCUGUGCUGCCAGGCUUCUGGCUCCGUUUUAGUGUUGGUGUUAAUCACCUUCCCCUCUGAUCAUUAGUAAAAAAAAAAAAAAAAAAAUUGAGGGUCAGAGUGAGAAUCUGCACGCUGGGCUUAAUGAAGCCAACUUAAUCUCGUUCCAUUCCUCCUAUAAAGUUGAACUAUCGUUUACUGACUACUUAUAGUCUGCUGGAAUACCUUGUCUUUUAAUGAUCAUUAAAUAAUUCUUUGAAUCAAGUAUUA